rnacentral:rRNA from 1 species
UGCCAAGCAGCCGCGGUAAUUCCAGCUCCAAUAGCGUAUAUUAAAGUUGUUGCGGUUAAAAAGCUCGUAGUUGGAUCUCGGCGGGCAGGGGGUGGUUCGCUCUUCAGCGCUACUGCCCCGCUUUGCCCGUGUGAUUGGCGGAGGUUUCGGGGUGCUCUUCGUUGAGUGACUCGGAGCGCCGUCAGGUUUACUUUGAAAAAAUUAGAGUGCUCAAAGCAGGCUUUUCACGCUUGAAUAUUCGUGCAUGGAAUAAUGGAAUAGGAACUCGUUUCUAUUUUGUUGGUUUUCGGAAAUCGAGUUAAUGAUUAACAGGGACAAUUGGGGGCAUUAGUAUUCAGACGACAGAGGUGAAAUUCUUGGACCGUCUGAAGACUGACUACUGCGAAAGCAUUUGCCAAGAGUGUUUUCAUUAAUCAAGAACGAAAGUUAGAGGUUCGAAGGCGAUCAGAUACCGCCCUAGUUCUAACCAUAAACGAUGCCAGCUAGCGAUCUGCCGAGUUUUUUUUGUAGGCUCCGCAGGAAGCUUUCGGGAAACCAAAGCUUUUGGGUUCCGGGGGAAGUAUGGUUGCAAAGCUGAAACUUAAAGGAAUUGACGGAAGGGCACCACCAGGAGUGGAGCCUGCGGCUUAAUUUGACUCAACACGGGAAAUCUCACCAGGCCCGGACACUGGAAGGAUUGACAGAUUGAGAGCUCUUUCUCGAUUCGGUGGGUGGUGGUGCAUGGCCGUUCUUAGUUGGUGGAGUGAUUUGUCUGGUUAAUUCCGAUAACGAACGAGACUCUGUCCUGCUAAAUAGUUGGGUCGUCCUUCGUGCGAUCCAAGUUCUUCUUAGAGGGACUGGCUGCGUCUAGCAGCACGAGAUUGAGCAAUACACAGGUCUGUGAUGCCCAAG